GCGCUUCUAGCUCAGAGGAAGAGCGCUUGCCCGACACGCAAGAGGCGGAUGGAUCGUUACCAUCGAAGCGCACCA
rnacentral:tRNA from 1 species